AUACGGAGGGCGCGAGCGUUACCCGGAUUNANUGGCUACGCGUAAAGNGCGUGUAGGAGGCCUGGGGCGUCCCAUGUGAAAGGCCACGGCUCAACCGAGGAUUCGCGUGGGAUACGCNCAGGCUAGAGGGAGGGAGNGGGUGGUGGGGUUCCCGGAGUAGCGGUGAAAUGCGCAGAUACCCGGAGGAACGCCGAUGGCGUAGGCAGCCACCUGGUCCACUUCUGACGCUGACUCGNGAUGAAAGCGUGGGGAGCAAACCGNAUUAGAUACCCGGGUAGUCCACGCCCUAAACGAUGCGCGCUAGGUCUUUGGGGUUUACCUGCGUAGGCCCUUGCCAACGCGGAAGCGCGNCGCCUGGGGAGUACNNNCGCAAGGCUGAAACUCAAAGGAAUUGACUGGGGCCCGUANA
rnacentral:rRNA from 1 species